GACAGAGGUGCCAAGCGUUGUUCGGAAUUACUGGGCGUAAAGGGCUCGUAGGCGGCCAACUAAGUCAGACGUGAAAUCCCUCGGCUUAACCGGGGAACUGCGUCUGAUACUGGAUGGCUUGAGAUUGGGAGAGGGAUGCGGAAUUCCAGGUGUAGCGGUGAAAUGCGUAGAUAUCUGGAGGAACACCGGUGGCGAAGGCGGCAUCCUGGACCAAUACUGACACUGAGGAGCGAAAGCCAGGGGAGCAAACGGG
rnacentral:rRNA from 1 species